AUUCAAGAAUCCAUAACGUUUCAUCCUUCAUCCCCAUCUCCAUCUCACGGUGUGUUAUGGAGCAAAGUAGAAGAAAAGAAGCCAAAUCAGCAAAUCUUCCUGUGCAGAUCAGUCAACUUCAAAAUAAAACUGAGAACAGCUCAGAGCGAGUGAGAAAGUGAGCUUUAUAUGGUUGGAAAGCCUUGGAUGUCUAGUUUUCAGAACUUUUAACGGUUCAUCCAUAUCAUUUUUCUACAAAACGUUAUGGCUGAAUUAGUACAGCAAGGUCAGACAUUCCGAGAAUCUGAUACUUUAACUGAAGUGGCAGCACACCUAACUUGGCAAAGUUGCAAGACACCAAACUUUGACUGCAGCUGCAGCACAAUACUUUUGAAAAUAUGAAGCUCUAUAUCCACCAAUUUUGACAAGGUUGCAGCCACCAUUCCUUUACAACAACUACAGCACACCGGUUUUGACAAAGCUGCAGCCAUCAUCUUUGACAAAGAAACAUUUCCAGCUGCAAUAACUAGUGCUACGAGCUCUAUAAAACCAAGGGCUGGAAUGGACAGAGAAGGAGGAGUAUUGGGAGGGAGAUGACCAGAUUAGAGAGCAUAAAUAAGUGUGAGAGCAGAAUAGAGAGAGGGAGAGACAUUUAGUUUAGAACUUAUGUCUGCAGCACAAGAGGAGAAAGAACGACACCCUUUCUGCCAUCAUCCAGCUAUCAUCUCUUUCAUUUCUUUUCUUCUAGUUUGUGUUUUCUUCGUAACUAUGUCUAGCUAAAUACUUUUGUAGCUAGAGGCGAUUUCAAAGCCCCGAACAUGUUCUAUUCAUAUUAAUAAUUCAGUUUUUGGUUUUCUAUAUUGUCAA